UCCACCUCUGCCGCCGGCCACGGCUCCACCUCACCAUUCCUCCCUUACCUCCGGCCACUUCUUCCCCACCCCCCCUCAGCCUCCACCGACCCUUUGACCAAGCCGCCCCCUCCCGCCACCGUCCGACAGCCGCUACUCCACCUCCACCGCCGGUCACGACCCUACUUCACUGCCUCCAUUGUCGGCCAGCACUUCACCUCCACCCCCCUUCCGCAUCUGAUCUAGAUACGUCUCCCCUCCCCCCUUUCCCUCCGCAUCCACCAAACCCUAGACCAACCACAAGCAGUCGCUGCCACCACUUGUCCCCGCUUCAAGUAUCUCUCCGGCACCACACAGUCGCUGCUUCAAGGGUAGUGAAGACACGUCGAGGACGCGCAAGAUGAUGAUUGCCUCAUCCAUCGUGAUGACAACACCUCUAUGGCCAAUGGAAGUGGUCACGUUGCCCAGCCUGAUGAGAACAACCAUAUGGUUUAUGAGAAAGAAGAUGAUGACCUCGUCCAUCGUGAUGAUAACACCUCUAUGGCCAAUGAAAGUGAUCUCGUUGCCCAGCCUGAUGAGCACAACCAGAUGGUGAAUGAGGAAGGUGAUGACAACCAGUUCUUCAGUUGCUAUUUUUGACUUUAAUCUACAUUUGAUAAUGACAUGAAAUUCUAGAAUCUGAAUUCAGUAAUUCAAUCAUAUAUGCUUAAUCUAAAUCCUAAUUUCAGACCC